UCUGAGCGACUAGCUAUUUGUCUGCAUACUUUCAAAACAAGUCACACUACUUCCUGUAUGUACUGCAAAAGGCAUAUAGUAAUGAAAUUCUUUCCCAAGUUUGAAAAGCCGGCGCAAGGAUUGCCCAGUAACAACCCUCCUUUUUUACUACUUCAAUGAGCUACCUAGACUCACGAGACCUCUAUUCUCGUAGAUCUGACAAUAACCCGUAAAGCAGAAGGUUGGAUGGGAGGCUUGAGAGCUGUAAAUACUGAUUUCCUGUUGCAAGUUGUGCCGUGGGAAAAUCAUCGUUAUGCAUUAAAUCUCAAAAUUUCCCACGUUAUCUUCAGCCAAAGUUCUCCUCCUCCCCAGAUUCGAAAUGUCUGCAAAGGAUCUUGUACAUUGGCGCUCAGUGACGUGGACCACUCGUUGAAGGUGCUCUUCAAAUUUAGUUUCUUUAAAUCAAUUUAAUUGAUAAGUUUACUUCAAACAAAACCCUAGUCCCUCUACCUUCGAGACUAUCUUGCGGAGAUAAUUAAGUCAGGACACUGAUAAAUGGACCAGCUAUUGAUAUAACAGUAAGGAUAGCUGUAGUCAGAAAGACUGGCUAAAGUGAGUAUUCCAUAACAGCAGUGCAUUCAGUUUAUAGAAAGACACACAAGAGCAUAUCUUUAAAUAUCCAGCGGGUGAGAAAUAAUUUUGUCAGCAGAUGACAUGGGGUAAUUGAGAUGUAAUGCAUAAUGAUCAUUCUCCCACAGUGGGACUUUUAACAGGAACAGUCAUUAUUUGUAUAUGCAUCUCGCGUCCCCCACACAACUUUCUUUUAGAGAUUGUUGUCAGAUUUACGAGAAUAAAGGUCUCCAAAUGA